GGUGUGAAUUUCAGCCUGCUCGCCGGAAAGGGAAAUAAAAUCUGCUACGCAUCUGUUUUCGGAGCCAAAAUCGAAGGGUUUGGAGUGUGAAUUUGGGAAUCAUUCCUUCUCGAAAAUCGUAGAGGACCUCGAAAACUGUGAGUGUGUCAUUCGUGGUUGUGUACCUAAGAAAAUUUUGGUCUAUGAUGUUGCUUUUGGUGCUAACUCGAGCUAUGUUGGCGAAAUUCUGAGAAAUAGUAAACCUUCUGCCGCACCUGUUUUCGGAGCCGAAAUCGAAGGGUUUGGAGUGAGAUUUUCGAAUCAGUCUCUUCACAAAAGUCGUCGAGGACCGUGAUAAUUAUAUGUAAGUGUUAAAUUGCUUCUAAUUCGAGCAAGUUUUAUAGCCUUUUAGAGAUGAGAAUUUGACGGCAGUGAGUCUGCCAAAAACAGGGCAGUUUUGAUGAAUCAUCUUCGUUGGGUUUUAUUACCAUCUUAGGAUAAUAAUUUGGGAUAUAUUUCUUAAGUAAACUUUUAGAUGAAGUUGUCAGCUUUGAUUUGGUAUAUUGUUUGGCCAAUUUGGAUAACUUUGCAAAUACUUAUGAAUUUUACAAUAAACUGUACCAGAAAAGAGAAUUUAUCCGAAAUUCUGGCAGUUUUCUGUAAUCAUCUUUUGGGCCUGUUUUGCAUAUGCUGGGAUCAUAAUUUGUGAUCAGAGUCUUCAGUGAACAUGUAGAUGCAGU